UACGUAGGGCGCAAGCGUUAUCCGGAAUUAUUGGGCGUAAAGAGCUCGUAGGCGGUCUGUCGCGUCGGAUGUGAAAAUCCAGGGCUCAACCCUGGACCUGCAUUCGAUACGGGCAGACUAGAGUUCGGCAGGGGAGACUGGAAUUCCUGGUGUAGCGGUGAAAUGCGCAGAUAUCAGGAGGAACACCGGUGGCGAAGGCGGGUCUCUGGGCCGAUACUGACGCUGAGGAGCGAAAGCGUGGGGAGCAAACAGG
rnacentral:rRNA from 1 species